ensembl:lncRNA
UCACCUCCUGUUCUCCACUGAUCAGAUCUGUUGCUGAUUAGAUGCUCAGCAGAGGUGAUUGUGCAGCCUCUGACACCUCACAUCCCCUGCUGCCUAGAUUUCAAAGAGCAACUUCUGGAUUAUUUCACAUGCACUGACAACAUAAAUAGAAGCUGUUUUCCAGAUGAAGAAUUCUAUGUGGGAUAUGUUAAACGUUUCUGGAGGUGAAGACUUGAUUCAGCCUGCAAAUCCCUUUACUAUUAUGCCUGUACACCCCCAGCGCUCUGUGCUGCGUCUGUAUGGCUGCACAACUACCCACUGGAUCAAGCCUCCAUUCACCCUUCUCUGCAUAUUUCAAUACCAAUAGCCAGAACUGAAUGAAUGAGAAUGAAAUCAUUUCCUGUAACUUGGGUGGCGUACCUGCUGGGAGGGUGAUUUGUGAGUUUAACCUUCGCAGUGCCAUACACUCUUGACCCUGUAAUCACUGCUCAUGUCUGUGCUCUCACAGAGCUCUGUGGGUGUUAUGAAAGCAAUCACACGUUCACAAGAGUUUGGCUUUGGAGCUGGUUAAUUGUAUUGGGUUUGUGUGUUAAAAUUUUGGCAGCAUUUUUUUCUGCCACCAAACAAUUGUUCACAAAUGUUUCUGUUAUUCAGCCAUCUAUAAUGUGUGCCUAUCAAAGGAGGAGCAGUCUUAUAAAUAAUUACUGUCAGCUGUGCACAGUGAGGCAGUCACUUUGCAGCAUUCACUCUUGGUGUAGUUCCAGUCAAAUGGUGUAUUUCAAAUGUCAGCUUGACGCUCCUCUUGAAAUGGGAAAUAUUAAACAGGGAAAGAAAAGCUACUCACAGUCUAGGUCUAUGGUCUAGUUGCAGGGAGGUAAGGGUUUUCAAUUCCAUCUUGGUAUUUGCUAGACCUACUCUAUUUUCAGUUGCUCUUUUGUUUCAGGGUCUAUGCAUGGGCUGGGGUGAUUUUUCCAUCCAUGGAUGUGGUGCAGCCUUCUGGCCAUUGACAGGGCAGGAUGCUGCUGCCUCAUUACCAAGGCUGUUAGGGGUAUUCCUGCUCUGGCUGAUUCCUUCCCUGCCAUGCUGGAAGUUUCCAUUCCCUAGAAACAAGAAAGUGUUUCCAGUUCCUGUGGCAGCACACAGGAAUGCUUGCUCUGCAGUGCAACACAGUGAGCGUCACCUCAGUUUUAGGAGGUAUUCUCCAAUGACUGGUAGCACCAAAGCCAUCAGAGACUUGUAUUUUAGGGGAGGUGAUGUUUGAGCUUUGUGUAAUGCUUCCAUUAGCCUGAACCUGGCGGCCCCCCGAGGAGAGCUGGUACAUGCUUAGGGAAGGAAACCUGCUUGGAAAAGAUUAAGCACCAUUCUUUGUGCUCCGAAGGGGGCCUGGUUUGAGCUGGGAUUAGCUCAUAGACAUUUCUGAGCAACUAGUUCUGUGCUUGGGUUUCCUGUACUACAUGAUUAAUGGUGUAUUUGGGGCAGCGUCUGCUGACAGCUGUGCUUUUGACUCAGGCAGACACAGGGACUGAUGCGUGCUCAAAAAACAUUGAUCACGGUUCAGACGUUUGAAUGCAAGAGCAUUGCUACACCGACUUUUACUUAGGGUAUUUUUUGUGUCUGGAUUCUACUUUUCCACUGUUGUUCACUGUUUUGCAUUUGUUGGAGUAUGUGCCUGAUACGUGUCACCCUGUUGUUUGUCGUAUUACCCAUUCUGUAGGUAACAAAAUUCACCUGUUUUUGGACCUGCUUCCCUGUAAUGUCUUCAUAAAGCUCCCUGGCGGAGGGUGUCUAGGCUGCUGUGGAAUGAGCCUGAGUAACUUUGACAGACCUUGAAAUGCAUCUGUAUGGAUCAGAUUACCUCAGAAGUAAGAGGAAAUUUAUAUUUAUUGGAAGGUACUGGCCCUUUCUUAGUACUUCUGCUAGCACUGAGAAAAAUGUGAAGGGUAGCACUUUGGAAAGCAUAAUUAAUAUUACGGGGACAGUCUCAGGGCUGAGAGAUCACAAAACUGGUGUGUUAUAACUUACAGUAAAAUCCCACUUUGAGAAGUCACUAUUUAAAAAUGUUCUUACUCGACAGAUCUGCUACUUUGGUACAGUGCCGUAUCUGCUGACUUCAGUCACAAAACAAGUUCUUAACUACUUUUUAUUCUCAUCAGUCCUGCAGAGCCGACAUAACCAUGGGAUUGCGGAUGGGCUCUGGGGGACCAGCAGCCAAAUUAAACGGCACUUGCAGCUGCUCUGAUGCAAACUCACCAAAGACAGAGGAGCUGAACUGACAAGGAACAGCUGAGAGCUGACCUGGGUUGCAGAGCGGGUAGUUGGCAGAGGAGGGGAGAUUAAAGCCAUCACUUCAAGUCUGAGGUUCCACAUUAUGAUUAAAAAAAAAAAACAGAUUUAUAGAGGUGAAAAAAAGGUGUUUUUUUUUUUCUUCCAGAGCAAAACCAUUUCUUUCUUAAUGUUCAGUAGUCACAAGUAGUUUUUUCCCUUUUAUUUGAACGCUGUGGGGAUGCUAUAUGGUGGCAGAAUCAAUGUUAAGUGAUGUCAAAGCCCGGCUGGAUGUGGCUCUGGGCAGCCUGGUCUGGUGGUUGGUGACUGUGCACGUAGCAGGGGGUUGAAACUAAGUGAUCAUUGUGGUCCUUUUCAACCCAGGCCAUUCUAUGAUUGUAUGAUUCGAUGAUUCCAUGAUUCUAUGAUUUCAUUCUAUGAUUCUUUGUGCUGAACUAUUUAAGAAGUCUACUCCUAGCAUAGAUUUUGAUUCCUGCAGUGCCUGCUUAAACUCCAGUAUUCUGGUAGCGUUUCCAAUUUUGAUGCUAAAGCAUAUAUAUCAUUUCUUGCUUUUAUUUCUCUCAUGAAUAUUUGUGAAACGUUGACAUCGGCAUUCUGGUUUUGAGCAAUAUUGUCAAACUGAGAUGCACAAAAAUCACGAGCCAGACCUCCGCAAACCUGCUGACAUUUGCUUAAAAAUUGUAUAUAUUUUUUAAAUUUAUUGUGAUUCCUGAACUUUUUAGACAUAUUUAUCUCAGGUUUUCAAGCCUUUUCUCUAUCAACAAAAUAGCAAUGUUUUUUAAUUGAUACUUGUGUCAUCACAAAUGACGACAUUUUGCUUGAAGUUUCAAGCUAACAAAUGGGAGUAUUCAGCAGGUGGCCAUGGUGAACAGAGACAUGUGAGUGGGCUGGUGACUAUGCUCGGGAUGGAGAGGCUUAGCACUGGUGAGUGCAUUGGCAAAAGUCAGUGAAAUUUGUUUGCUGCCUUCACUGAUGCCGUUCACUUGUGGUGUUUGGACAUUUGCCUUCCAGUCAGUAGUCGGUGGCUGUGCAUUAGCUAAAUGAAUUUAUGUAUGCCUAGAUUGCAGAAUCUCAUGAGGUAUGGCUUUCCCUUAAGUGGGGAAUGGCAAGAGGCUGAGCUGGCCAGCAGGCAAGGCAGGCGAUUUUGAGGGAAGUUGGCAGAUAUUUAAAAUCCUUCUUGUGCUUUUUUUUCUUUCCUCUUUUCACCUCCUCAUUCACAAAACACCUGGAAAAGAAUGCUGAGAUGGCUUUCUCAGGCUCCCUUCAAACUGAGCUGAAACAGCACUGCUGGAAGAGGAGAAGCCUUCUCCCCCUCUCACAAGGUGGUUCCUAUCUUCCACCUGGGGGUUCCCCAUGUACUACACCUCCUCAUUUCUGAUCGUGUUGGGGAACCCCUAAACUGAAGAGAUCUCUCAUCAGAGUAGGGACACACUUCCUGAUUGGGAUAACAGAAGCACAAGAGUUGGGACAUAAAUCUCUCCUGUGGCCAUCCCAUGGUCCUGGGGUACGUUCUUCAGCGCUGAAAUUCUAUGUGACUCACUCAGAGGGGUGAGGGCUGAGAAACUCAUGCAUGAGGGAUAAGGAGAGCAUCUUAGAGACAUAAAUAUGUGGGGUUACAUGUGUUUAUAUUUCUAUUUGUGUAUUCUUUCUCAAAUGUGUUUGUUUUCCACGUUUCCUGGUGAGUCCCUGUAGAUGGCUGCGGACAAGGCUGCCCCUUGCAGCCACUCCUCUGUGUGCCCACCUCUCCUGCUGCUGCUUCCCAGGCUAGGUGGUGGCAGCCCCUCCUAAAGGCAUGCAUUUUUGGAAGCUGGCUGAUAAAACGAGCACACGCUGAGCUCCGAUGCAAAGUAAUUCCUAGAUAUGAUGAGCCUAUUAUAUAUGUGAAUAGACCUUCAAGGGAUGUGCGAAUGAAACCUUUUUUGAUCUCCUAUCUCUUCAGAGCACUUCUUGCCAUUGCCUCUGUCUCUUCACCUAAAUUCUGCUAUUUUUUUUCAUUCAUCUGCCACGUGCAUGGCAUAUUAAAAUAAAAUAUAUAUAUAUAUAUAAAUAGAUUUCAGAGCCAGUGUUCCAGAAGGUAUCAACUAUGGGAAGAGAGCAGCAGAGGAAGAAGCUGCUGCAGAAGGCACAUGUAUGCAUAUGAGGCAAUAUGUGGGUUGUGUAAUACCCAAUUUUUCACCCACUGCUGCUCCAGAUGUUGGAGACAAGAGCAAAUGUAAGACUGUCAAUGUUGUUGUACAGGAAGUAUGGCCAAGUUACACUCUGAAAACAGAAGGCAAAUUAAAAUAAAAAUAUGUAUUGCUUAGAAAAUAGGGCAAUGCCAAACAUAUGAUCUCACAGACCACCACCUGCUUCCACCUGUUAAUAUUUCUCUUUUUGGUUUCUCCUUUGUUUUUAAUUCUUCCAUCAAUGUGAGGUUAGUAAGAGUUGGAGUUCCUUCUUGGCUCAGCAAUAAAAUGAUAUCUUCAUCUUAUAUGUGUUUCCAGACAGACAUAGAAACCUGCCUGGGAGCGUGCUUGGCAGGACUGACACCUCUGAAGUGACUGUGUGGAGCUCUCGUUCCCGUAUUUGCUCUGAUUAGGAUCCCAUUUACCCUUAGUCCUGCAACUUACGCAAGCUGCAAAGCUGUGGCUGUCCCCUACGUCCAGCAUAAUUUGCACACAUUGGGAGCGUCUGUUUUGAUGAUCUGGAACUACUUUGUGCUGUUUUUAUUGUAGAGAGAAAAAAAAUAGUAUACGCACCAGAACUAUUAAAUAAUAAGCAACUGCUAUUGGCUCUUCUUGGUAUUUUGUUAUAAAUGAACCGUUGUGUAAUGCAGUGUGGCAGUGAUCCCCUUUGUAAGGUAAAGGUGGUAAACUUGAUGGAAGUGAGGCGAAAUUGCCAAAAGCUUUAUGAAAGCACUUCUGCUUUGGCACUGUACGGAGCAGCAGGGCUGUGAGCAUGGGAACUAAUGAAGCCUGGCUCCCUAUGGAAGCACUUCUCAUGGUUGACAGACUUUUUAAUUGAAUUUUAUCCUAAAGCAGCAGUAUGAGGUCACCCCUUUCGGACACCAGAGUAUACACAGGAG